rnacentral:rRNA from 1 species
CAAUAGCAUAUAUUAACGUUGUUGCAGUUGAAAAGCUCGUAGUUGAACUUUUGGUAGGAGCGACCUGGCCUUGGGCGCAUGCCCUUGUUUGCCGUGUGUCGUAUCUGGCCAUCCUUUUCUUCUUUUUGGAAGGAAUCUUUUACUGUGAGUAAACUGGAGUGCUCAAAACAAGACGUUUGUUUGGUACAUUAAAGCAUGGAAUAAUAAGAUAGGACCUGGUUACUAUUUUGUUGGUUUGCAUAGCUAGGUAAUGAUUAACAGGGACAGUUGGGGGUAUUCGUAUUUAAUUGUCAGAGGUGAAAUUCUUGGAUUUAUGAAAGACGAACGACUGCGAAAGCAUUUGCCAAGGAUGUUUNCAUUGA